CCGACUGCCGCGCUGGGCCGCCGCCGCCGCCGCCGCCGGCCGGGGGCGGGGCCCGCGGCCUCCCACGUCCCCAGCUGCGCUAAUCCACGGCCGAGAGCCGCGCGCCAGGCGAGAGCAAGCGAUGGCCGAGCCGCCGCGCCUGCCGGCGGAGCCCACUCGGCGGCCGCCACUGCCCCCUUCAGGCGGGCCCUGAGCCGUGAGGCGCAGGGCGAAGAUUUCCACUCAGAAAGAAGUGAAUUGUCUGAGAUGUUUAGGCUCUUAGGUAAAAAAAAAAAAAAAAAAAAAAAAAAAAAAAAAAAAACGUAUCCUAGAAAGUAAAUUAAUAUUUGCGUUCCUGACGAACGUUCCCACUCUGAGCGCUCAGUGAAUACUUCUAGAAUAACUGAACCACACAUCUAAUAAAGGAGUUUCAGUGAAUAUUAGCGACGGCACUAAGAGGAAAACAAGAUGCCUGUGCCGGGGGCUGUCCGCUCCCUUUCGUCUUCCACCCGCUGGAACCUUCUGGCAAGAAGGGGAGAAGAAUGACAAGAGCAAAUUUGCAACACUGAUUUUGAAAGUCCAAGUUACUUCUUACCUGCCUUAAUCCUUGCUGGAGAAAACAACUGAGCCCUGAGAAGCGAUGCUGCGUUGCAUGAACUUAUUUCUCCUGGAAAUGCUUUAAGAUCUUCAAGGAGGUCAGACCACAGCACAACAGACAUCUGGAGGAGAAAUGCCCAUUUCCAUUCAAGCAUUGUUAUCCUGGGAAGCACAUAAGAGGCUUAAGCUUCAUGCCUUGAUGCAACGAGGCAGGACGGGUUGGGAGCCGGCAGAAGACAUAACACCGUGUCAUUUCUGUGUCUAGAAGGAAAGGAUAUUUGCACUGCCAGGUGGACUGUUAAAGCUGAACUCUCAGGA